rnacentral:rRNA from 1 species
AUAUCAAUAAGCGGAGGAAAGGAAACCAACAGGGAUUGCCUCAGUAACGGCGAGUGAAGCGGCAACAGCUCAAAUUUGAAAUCUGGCUCUUUCAGGGUCCGAGUUGUAAUUUGUAGAAGAUGCUUCGGGUGUGGCUCCGGUCUAAGUUCCUUGGAACAGGACGUCAUAGAGGGUGAGAAUCCCGUAUGUGACUGGGUGCCUUCGCUCAUGUGAAGCUCUUUCGACGAGUCGAGUUGUUUGGGAAUGCAGCUCAAAAUGGGUGGUAAAUUUCAUCUAAAGCUAAAUAUUGGCCAGAGACCGAUAGCGCACAAGUAGAGUGAUCGAAAGAUGAAAAGCACUUUGGAAAGAGAGUUAAACAGUACGUGAAAUUGUUGAAAGGGAAGCGCUUGCAACCAGACUUGCACGCGGUUGAUCAUCCGGUGUUCUCACCGGUGCACUCUGCCGCGUUCAGGCCAGCAUCGGUUUCGGUGGUUGGAUAAAGGCCUAGGGAAUGUAGCUUCUUUCGGGGAGUGUUAUAGCCCUAGGUGCAAUGCAGCCUACCGGGACCGAGGACCGCGCUUCGGCUAGGAUGCUGGCGUAAUGGUUGUAAGCGA